UACGUAGGGUGCAAGCGUUGUCCGGAAUUAUUGGGCGUAAAGAGCUCGUAGGCGGUUUGUCGCGUCGAAUGUGAAAACCCGGGGCUCAACCCCGGGCCUGCAUUCGAUACGGGCAGACUAGAGUUCGGUAGGGGGGUCUGGAAUUCCUGGUGUAGCGGUGAAAUGCGCAGAUAUCAGGAGGAACACCGGUGGCGAAGGCGGGACUCUGGGCCGAUACUGACGCUGAGGAGCGAAAGCGUGGGGAGCAAACAGG
rnacentral:rRNA from 1 species